GUCGACGGCAGCACGAGAGAGCUUGCUCUCUUGGUGGCGAGUGGCGGACGGGUGAGUAAUAUAUCGGAACGUGCCCAGUAGCGGGGGAUAACUACUCGAAAGAGUGGCUAAUACCGCAUACGCCCUACGGGGGAAAGGGGGGGAUUCUUCGGAACCUCUCACUAUUGGAGCGGCCGAUAUCGGAUUAGCUAGUUGGUGGGGUAAAGGCUCACCAAGGCAACGAUCCGUAGCUGGUUUGAGAGGACGACCAGCCACACUGGGACUGAGACACGGCCCAGACUCCUACGGGAGGCAGCAGUGGGGAAUUUUGGACAAUGGGGGAAACCCUGAUCCAGCCAUCCCGCGUGUAUGAUGAAGGCCUUCGGGUUGUAAAGUACUUUUGGCAGAGAAGAAAAGGUAUCUCCUAAUACGAGAUACUGCUGACGGUAUCUGCAGAAUAAGCACCGGCUAACUACGUGCCAGCAGCCGCGGUAAUACGUAGGGUGCAAGCGUUAAUCGGAAUUACUGGGCGUAAAGCGUGUGUAGGCGGUUCGGAAAGAAAGAUGUGAAAUCCCAGGGCUCAACCUUGGAACUGCAUUUUUAACUGCCGAGCUAGAGUAUGUCAGAGGGGGGUAGAAUUCCACGUGUAGCAGUGAAAUGCGUAGAUAUGUGGAGGAA
rnacentral:rRNA from 2 species